rnacentral:tRNA from 1 species
AAAUCUUUAGUAUAUUGAUAGUAUAUUUAAUUGCAAAUUAAAAGGUUAAAGAUUUUU